AUUACUAAUACUGCUACUACUACUACUACUACUACUACUGCUAAUAUUGCUAUUGCUACUGCAGUACUGCUGCUAUUACUGCUACUGUUACCACUACUAGCAUUGUUGCUGCUGUUAUUAUUUCUACUACUGCUACUCCUCAUACUAGCAUUGUUACUACUGCUCUUGCUAAUAUUGCUAUUGCUACUGCUGCUACUGCAGCUACUAC
rnacentral:lncRNA from 1 species